CACGUAGUUAGCCGGGGCUUAUUCUAGAGGUACCGUCACCCUCUGGGCUAUUAACCCGAGUGGCUUCUUCCCUCUUAAAAGAGGUUUACAACCCGAAGGCCUUCUUCCCUCACGCGGCGUCGCUGCGUCAGGCUUUCGCCCAUUGCGCAAGAUUCCCCACUGCUGCCUCCCGUAGGAGUCUGGGCCGUGUCUCAGUCCCAGUGUGGCUGAUCGUCCUCUCAGACCAGCUACGGAUCGGAGCCUUGGUGGGCCGUUACCCCACCAACAAGCUAAUCCGCCGCGGACCCAUCCUCGGCCGGAGGCCGAAGCUACCUUUUCCGACCGGCUCGAGAGCCGGAAGGGGCCAUCCGGGUAUUAAUCCGGGUUUCCCCGGGCUAUCCCGGUGCCCGAGGGCAGGUUAUCCACGUGUUACUCACCCGUUCGCCGCUGUCCCCGGGGCCGAAGCCCCGGUUCUCGCUCGACUUGCAUGUGUUAAGCGCGCCGCCAGCGUUCGUCCUGAGCCAGGAUCAAACUCU
rnacentral:rRNA from 1 species